GACAGAGGGUGCAAGCGUUGUUCGGAAUCAUUGGGCGUAAAGGGCGCGUAGGCGGUUUCGUAAGUCGAAUGUGAAAGCCCAGGGCUCAACCUUGGAAGUGCAUCCGAAACUGUGAAACUUGAAUCCUGGAGAGGGUGGUGGAAUUCCCAGUGUAGAGGUGAAAUUCGUAGAUAUUGGGAGGAACACCGGUGGCGAAGGCGACCACCUGGACAGAGAUUGACGCUGAGGCGCGAGAGCGUGGGGAGCAAACAGG
rnacentral:rRNA from 1 species